rnacentral:RNase_P_RNA from 1 species
CGAGUCGGCCGGGCGGCCGCGGCGUCCGGAACCGUGCGGUACCCCGUGCAGGCCGGUGUCGAGGAAAGUCCGGACUCCGCAGAGCAGGGUGGUUGUUAACGGCAACCCGGGGCGACCCGCGGGACAGUGCCACAGAGAACAGACCGCCCGCUGCCCAGUGCGGCGGGUAAGGGUGAAACGGUGCGGUAAGAGCGCACCAGCGCCGCGAGUGAUCGCGGCGGCUAGGUAAACCCCACCCGGAGCAAGGCCGAAGUCCGCACCGUCGGCGGUGCGGGUGCGCGAGUGCAUGAGGACUGCUCGUCCGAGCUCGCGGGUUGGCUGCUGGAGGCGCCCGGCGACGGGUGUCGGAGAUGGAUGGUCGCCCCCGGCCUCACGGCUGGGACAGGAUCCGGCUUACAGGCCGGCUCGUUCG